AAAAUGUUUUUGUUUUUAGUUUUGUUUUCAGUUUUUUUUUGUUUUGUUUUUUUUCCUGCCUUUAUUUUUAGGUUACGUUUUCCCUUUCCACGCCCGGAAAUUUUCUGUUCUAUGGGUGGCACAUUGACACAAUUUUGGGUUUAAUACUGGCGUUAUUUACGACAACUUUAGCUGCAAUGCUUUCGGAAGGAUUGAAGUACGUGCGUUACUUACCGAAAAAACAACGUGGACAAAGAAAAUGCACACCUUUAGCAAAAGUGUUCCUGCAGAAUAUGAAAACCCGUUUAUGGCAAACAUGUCUACAUAUGCUACAGACAGGAACUGGAUUGUUUCUAAUGUUAUGUUCCAUGUCUUAUAAUACCUGGAUUUUCAUCAGCAUCAUUGUUGGUUCAUUUUUAGGAUACUUCUUCUUACACCCAGUCAUACGAAUCCAUGCUGAUAAAAAAAUAAAACGGACAAAGCCAUCGGCUGUGGAGAUUGCACUGAUCGACAAUCCGUCAACACGGAGCGUCAAGCAAUGAACAUCUUUUAAUGUGCUUAUGUCUCAAUGCUUACGUUUUUCUCAUAAAUAAAAUAUUCAUAAUUCUUUAUACAAUAGGCACUAGGCCUGAAAAUUUCUGAUGGAAGUGGGACGAGGUGGUCAGUCGAUUACACUUAUUUUACCGACCUCGAAAGUUUGAAAGACGAAGUUGACAUCGGCGAAAUUUGAACUCAGAACGUAAAGCUGUUGUUCAAAUUCCUCCAAGGUCGACUUUGCAUUUCAUCUUUUCGGGUUCGAUUAAAUAAGUACCAGGGUCGAUGUCAUCAAUUUACGCCAUCUCCUAAAAAUUGCUGGUCCUGUGCCAAAAUUUUAAAUCAUUUGAAACCAUUUGAAGGGUAGCUAAGGCGGAGAACUGGCAAACUCGUUAAAGCGUCGGAAAAAAUACGCGACGGUAUUUGUUUCAACUCUUUACAUUCUCAGUUUGAAUGCCGUCGAAGUCAACAGCGCUACUCAUCCUUUGAGAUCAAUAAAAUAAAGUACCAGCUGAGUACUGUGGUCGAUGAUAUAAACUAACUCUUUUCUCUGAAUAUUGUUGGCUUUGUGCCUAAGGAAAGUAUUAUCUUAUUGUAACUUGACAGAUGACUAAAGACUCCGGUACAUUUUUACCUACACUGUGUUACAAAGGAAUAAUAAUAAUAAUAAUAAUAAUAAUAAUAAUAAUAAUAAUAAUAAUAAUAAUAAUAAUAAAUAUGAGCAGGAGUAGUGAGGGAGCAUCAAAUUCCCUUAUACAGUACCAGGCAGUGACUCUCAUGGUUUCUGCUCUUAACUGAUUGGAAGUGUUAACAUGUACAUAUUUUGUCUUGGUAUAAAAGAUGGACUACAGCAAAUAUUCUGCUCAAUACCACAGAUUUGGCUGUCAGUUGUUUGACCAUAACCAAUUGAGCAUGUCCCUUGGUGGCUGGCGAUAUGCGCAUCUCUGAUCACGAGCACGAGUAGUGGGGGAGCAUCAUAGCCAUGUGUUGAGAGGAAUUCUUUGGAUUUUCAAUAAUUCACCUCUGGAAACAUAAGUGUUUUGUUUAUCAUUCUUCAACAAACCUUAUUCAAGGAACUCCCAAAUAGGAUGGGCCACUUGGCCUGAAGAAAAUUCUGACGGAGUCACACCUGCAAGUUCAUGCAUUGUUUAAUCUGAUAUGAGAUCACCAUGUCAAGGACAUAUGAUUGUGAUGCAUGUGCCUGACGUACCCUUGUCAAACAGGUAGUCAUGGUGGAUAUAUUGGAUUUCGUAUAUUUGUAAGCCAGUGUCAUUUUGAUGGCAUGCAUUACUCUCCCAGUAUUAAUAAUAAUAAUAAUAAUAAUAAUAAUAAUAAUAAUAAUAAUAAUAAUAAUAAUAAUAAUAGGUUGGGGAAAAAGUUCGUGCACCAUGUUAAUGCUUUUUCAUACAUUUUUGUGGUGUUUGUUCAUUCAGUUCAUGUCAUGUUCAAUGGUGACUUACCGCGUUCGUCGAAAACGCGCUUAGUUUCAACAAGACAAUGCAAAGCGGCAUACCGCCAGAAAGACCAGCAACAAGACUGAAGAAUUGGGUGGUGUGAAAGUUCUGCCGCAUCCAGCCUAUAGUCCAGACGUUGCUCCAUCUGACUGCGGUUUCUUCCGAUCAAUGCAGCAUUUUAUGAAAGGUCGCCGAUUUGAGUCAUUCAAUGAAGUUGAAGAAGCCUGUCAAGAAUUUUUCGAUUCAAAGCCGACCAAAUCUGAAAGCUUACAGAUCGUUGGCAGAAGGUCGUGGAAAAUGAUGGCCUUCAUCUUGAAGAAUAGUUGUUGUUUUUUAAUAAAUUGUUGCAUAAAAAAUCAU